AGUUUGAUCAUGGCUCAGAUUGAACGCUGGCGGUCGCUGCGAGUCGAACGGCGGCACGGACUUCGGUCUGGUGGCGAGUGGCGAACGGGUGAGUAAUGUAUCGGAACGCGUGCCUAGUAGCGGGGGAUAACUACGCGAAAGCGUAGCUAAUGCCGCAACCGCCCUUCGGGGAAAGCGGGGGACCUUCGGGCCUCGCACUAUUAGAGCGGCCGAUAUCGGAUUAGCUAGUUGAACAGGGUAAGCGGCUCACCAAGGCGACGAUCCGUAGCUGGUUUGAGAGGACGACCAGCCACACUGGGACUGAGACACGGCCCAGACUCCUACGGAGGCAGCAGUAGGGGAAUUUUGGACAAUGAGGGGAAACCCUGAUCCAGCCAUCCCGCGUGCUACGUGAAAGAACCCCUUCGGGUUGUAAGAAAACGCUUUGGCGAGAAAGAAACGGCACGGGAUAAUACCCCGUGCAACUGACGGUACCUGCAGGAAUAAGCACCGGCUAACCGUGCCAUGUGACAUGACAGCCGUAGAGAUGCAAGCGUUAAUCGGAAUUACUGGGCGUAAAGCGUGCGCAGGCGGUUCGGAAAGAAGAUGUGAAAUCCCAGAGCUUAACUUUGGAACUGCAUUUUUAACUACCGAGCUAGAGUGUGUCAGAGGAGGUGGAAUUCCGCGUGCUUGGCAGUGAAAUGCGUAGAUAUGCGGAGGAACACCGAUAGCGAAGGCAGCCUCCUGGGAUAACACUGACGCUCGCGUGCACGAAAAGCGUGGGGAGCAAACAGGAUUAGAUACCCUGGUAGUCCACGCCCUAAACGAUGUCAACUAGCUGUUGGGGCCUUCGGGCAGCGAGCAGCGCAGCUAGCGUGAAGUUGACCGCCUGAAAUACGGUCGCAAAGAUUAAAACUCAAAGGAGUUGACGGGGACCCGCACAAGCGGUGGAUGAUGUGGAUUAAUUCGAUGCAACGCGAAAAACCUUACCCUUGACAUGUCUGGAAUCCCGAAGAGAUUUGGGAGUGCUCGCAGAGAACCGGAACACAGGUGCUGCAUGGCUGUCGUCAUCGUGUCGUGAGAUGUUGGGUUAAGUCCCGCAACGAGCGCAACCCUUGUCAUUAGUUGCUACGAAAGGGCACUCUAAUGAGACUGCCGGUGUCAAACCGGAGGAAGGUGGGGAUGACGUCAAGUCCUCAUGGCCCUUAUGGGUGGGGCUUCACACGUCAUACAAUGGUCCUUUGGGACGGGGUCGCCAACCCGCGAGAAGGCAAUCCCAGAAACCCGAUCGUAGUCCGGAUCGCAGUCUGCAACUCGACUGCGUGAAGUCGGAAUCGCUAGUAAUCGCGGAUCAGCAUGUCGCGGUGACGUUCCCGGGUCUUGUACACAUCGCCCGUCACACCAUGGGAGUGGGUUUUACCAGAAGUAGUUAGCCUAACCGUAAGGAGGGCGAUUACCACGGUAGGAUUCAUGACUGGGGUGAAGUCGUAACAAGGUAACUCUGUUGC
rnacentral:rRNA from 1 species